UUAUGUCAUCAGUCAAACACGCCGCAAGGGUUCAGGGUUUAGCGCCCUCAGUCUCGAAUCAAAACCCUAAAACCUUUACCACGGGAACCAACACCAAAGCAGAGAGAUCCUUCACCUUGUCAACCAUGGCCGCCGCCGCCGCCGCCAGCAGAACACUUUUCCGAUCCCCUUCCGUCCGGAAGGCGGCGGCGAAAGUCGCCUCCGAAGCCAAAGCCGCCCGCUCUCCCUUCAGUUCCUCGACCAGAAAACCCCUCUCUCACCGAAUCUUCAGUUGUCCGGCUGAAAUGAGCGUUUGCGUCGGAUCCAUGCAACCAUUCCACACUGCCACUGCUUCGGCAUUGAUGACGUCGAUGCUCUCGAUUUCUCGCCGCACUUACGGCUGGCUUCCGGAAGGUAUCUAGCAAAACUUCAUAGGACCUUCCUUGAUGGUCUUUUCCCAACUUUUAAGUUUCUGCUUCAAAUGAUGGUGUGUAAUGAAUGUUCCGAGGAUUCAAGCAAAGUUUUAUUCACAAUAUUCUGCAUCCUAAGACUGACCGCUGAUAUAUUAGAGAUUAUGAAUGCCACAGAAGAGCCAACUUGGAUUUCCUACCCUUGUAACCUCGAUGAACUAUCAUUCUUCAAGACCUGCACCUCUUUUGUCUGAUAUUUGGUAACUGAUGUAGCUGGUACAUGCAUAAUGUAAUUCUAUUCAAGUAUUCUGUUGUUGGCAAUAAGGGCAUGAAAACUUCCUACUUACAUACAUGUAUUCAUUUAGCCAGCAAUGGUUGAUGGAUCAUGCCCUUUCCUGUUUCUCUGAUCAACUAGUAAAAUGCAUGUUUCUUUGUGAGUUGGUAGCUGCUAUAGUUUUAGCCAGGUGGUAGUUAAUCAAGUGAAGCAUCUCUAUUGUUAUUUGCUCCAUUGUUUUCCUUUCCAAAUUUAUUGAUAAGAGUUUCUGGAAGUACGCCCAAGGUGAGUGUGGUCUUUGUCUUAAUAGGGGGGUUUAUAAGGGAGGAUUAGAUCAGGAUGACUUUGCCUCAAACCCGACUCAAUCCUUUGUUUUCCUUGUUGCAUUUAUAUCUAGUUUUAUUGGACAAAUUCUAGGGUAUCCAAGGAUACAAAUGCUUGCUCUUCUUACGUAAUCACCACUCCCUUCGUGUUGUACCACAGUGCUGCCCCUUCGCGGCGUUGUGCAUCCCCUUCGAGUGGUACCACAAAUUUUAGUAAUUUAUUGACUUAAUUUUCUAUUUAAACCCCCGAGGAACCCUUGGGUACCCUAGGGUAGUGAUAUUCAAAUAUCAUAGGUCGAACGGGGUGAAUUCCCAUUUGCCCUCCCUACACCACACACACACUGAACAAGGUGAAUUCUCCGUUCAGGCCCUCUUUGCACAACACACAACAUUGUGUGCGCACUCUGUAGGGAGGGGUCGAACUAGAAAUUCACUCUGUUCGAACUAGGGUUUCUAGUUUGAAUUUGGAUUGGAAAUAAUUUUCAUACAGUAUAAUAUCAGAACAUUUUAAUCUCAUUAGGGAAAGUCGGUUACAUAAGUUUUAAAUGUCUAGCUGCUUAGAUCUGUGUCUAUGUUCACUAGAUUGAGGAAUUAUCUAAACCCUUUUAGUGUCGAAGGAGCUUCUCUUAUCAUGGUUAAUUUUAAGAAGGAUUACAUUAGACAACUAAAAUGGACUUAAAUAUAAGACUUGGCAAGUAAAAGUAUGAUCAAUCCAAUUUUCUUUAUUAAACUCACGAUCCUAAUAGUGUUAUUAAACUCAGGAAUCUAUUCUGUAUUAAUAUUGGGCAGUUGAGUUGUUUAUGAGUAAUGACCUGCCUUUUCUUUGACCUUCAAUCCCUCCAACGGCUGCCCCACAAGCCAUCCUAUGUUCUCUACAUUGCUGCCAUCAUGGCCCUCUACUAGAUGUCCACGGCCUGUCGUUCUUCAACAUCAUCUUUGAUGUUAGCUUAAUUGGUAUAUCAAAUCUAGAAAGGGGAGAGGGAGAUUGAAGAGACGAUGAAGGACAAGGAGAUAUCGGUGGCGGCAAUGGUGGCG